AACAGAGGGUUCCGACGUCAAGAUGCUGGGAGUCGGGAAAGAGGGCCGAGAUCCGAUCACCGCCUUCGAGAAUUCGGUCCUGCCAACUUCUACCAAAAAUAUAAUGCAUCAUACGGAAAGCUUGUCAAAAUCCACAACGUCAGAUGCUUCUUGGGUCUUGAUGCAUAGUUGAGCAAAUAAAGGGAAAACUAAUCCAGUAAUCCCACCACCGAAGCCGACGCCGAUCGCCGGUGUCGCCACUCCAUCGAACGACCCUACGAGAAACUCUAAGGCAUUGAGAUCGUCGGCGGUGACCGCCGGAGUUUAGGAUGGUGUCGGGGUCGCAGCGAAGGGGCUGAGGCACCGCCGACGCUGGCACUGGAGAAGCGCUUCUCAUUUGCUGCGGACCUUCGCAUACUUACAGUACGGGCACCGCCGGCCGUCCUCCACCCCUCCCCUGAUUCGCCGGUGGAGGAGGGCUUCUCCUCCCCUCCUUUGUCGCCGGUGGAGGAGUCGGCAAAGAGAGGAAAAGAAAGGGGGAGAAAGGGAGAACCAAAGAAGAAAAAGGGCCUCGCUGAGUCGCUGGAACAUUAUGGAGAAACCGAAAAGAAAGGAGAAGAAAAUAAAAAGGAAGAGGAGGAGAAAAUGGGUUAACGAGUUGGCUUCGGGUUAACCGGUUGAGUUCG
rnacentral:lncRNA from 1 species